rnacentral:ncRNA from 4 species
CAACAAAUCGCAGUCUGCCAUA